GUAGGUGGCAAGCGUUGUCCGGAAUUAUUGGGCGUAAAGCGCGCGCAGGUGGUUCUUUAAGGUCUGAUGUGAAAGACCCCCCCGGGCUCAAACCCGGGGGAGGGUCAUUGGAAACUGGGGAACUUGAGUGCAGGAGAGGAAAGUGGAAUUCCACGUGUAGCGGUGAAAUGCGUAGAUAUGUGGAGGAACACCAGUGGCGAAGGCGACUUUCUGGCCUGUAACUGACACUGAGGCGCGAAAGCGUGGGGAGCAAACAGGAUUAGAUACCCUGGUAGUCCACGCCGUAAACGAUGAGUGCUAAGUGUUGGGGGGUUUCCGCCCCUCAGUGCUGCAGCUAACGCAUUAAGCACUCCGCCUGGGGAGUACGGUCGCAAAGACUGA
rnacentral:rRNA from 1 species